UACGUAGGUGGCAAGCGUUGUCCGGAUUUAUUGGGUUUAAAGGGUGCGUAGGCGGUCUUUAAGUCAGUGCUGAAAUAUCCCGGCUUAACCGGGAGGGUGGCAUUGAUACUGAAGGACUUGAGUUCAGUCGAGGUAGGCGGAAUUGACGGUGUAGCGGUGAAAUGCUUAGAUAUCGUCAAGAACACCGAUAGUGUAGACAGCUUACUAGGCUGAAACUGACGCUGAGGCACGAAAGUGUGGGGAUCAAACAGG
rnacentral:rRNA from 1 species